AGUGAACGCUGGCGGUAGGCCUAACACAUGCAAGUCGAACGGCAGCACAGUAAGAGCUUGCUCUUACGGGUGGCGAGUGGCGGACGGGUGAGGAAUACAUCGGAAUCUACUUUUUCGUGGGGGAUAACGUAGGGAAACUUACGCUAAUACCGCAUACGACCUACGGGUGAAAGCAGGGGAUCUUCGGACCUUGCGCGAUUGAAUGAGCCGAUGUCGGAUUAGCUAGUUGGCGGGGUAAAGGCCCACCAAGGCGACGAGCCGUAGCUGGUCUGAGAGGAUGAUCAGCCACACUGGAGCUGAGACACGGUCCAGACUCCUACGGGAGGCAGCAGUGGGGAAUAUGGGACAAUGGGCGCAAGCCUGAUCCAGCCAUACCGCGUGGGUGAAGAAGGCCUUCGGGUUGUAAAGCCCUUUUGUUGGGAAAGAAAAGCAGCAGGUUAAUACCCCGCUGUUCUGACGGUACCCAAAGAAUAAGCACCGGCUAACUUCGUG
rnacentral:rRNA from 1 species